rnacentral:rRNA from 1 species
UACGGAGGAUUCGAGCGUUAUCCGGAUUUAUUGGGCGUAAAGGGAGCGCAGGCGGUGAUUUAAGUCUGAUGUGAAAGCCCACGGCUCAACCGUGGAAUGGCAUUGGAAACUGGGUCGCUUGAGUGCAGAAGAGGAAAGCGGAAUUCCAUGUGUAGCGGUGAAAUGCGUAGAGAUAUGGAGGAACACCGGUGGCGAAGGCGACUCUCUGGACUGUAACUGACGCUGAGGCUCGAAAGCGUGGGGAGCAAACAGG